CGUUAGUAGUAGCAGAAAGGUUAUUAGGGAUAAGCUUAAUAUCUGAUUGUUAUAUAGGUUAGAAGAUUAGGUUAGAGAAGGAUUAAUAGUGUCUUUAGGUUUUGUAACCGAUUAGUAGCUAUCUUUAUUAAUGGAGUAUAUGAGGGUGUCUUGAAAUCUUUUUUGUUAGUAAUAAUGGUAGAAUUAGUAGAUUAGUUUAUAGUUUUUAAUUUAGGUGUUUAAAUUGAAGUAGACGAGUGUUUAGUUUUUGGUAAGGAACUCGGCAAAAAUUUCUCUUAACUGUUUAUCAAAAACAUUUCUUUAAGGAAGGAUUUAAAGUAUAUUCUGCCCCCUGAUUAACCUAUUAAAGGGCCGCAGUAGCCUGACUGUGCUAAGGUAGCAUAAUCAUUAGGUUCUUAAUUGGGAUCUGGAAUGAAUGAAUGAAUAAGGGGGAGCUGUCUAUCAAUAGAGUUUGAAAUUAAAUUUUUAGUAAGAAUGCUAGAAUNCUUUCAGUGGGACGAUAAGACCCUAUAAAGCUUUACUAAUCUUUAGUAAAAAUUUUUACUACUUUUAUGAAGAGNUUUAGUUUUACUGGGGCGGUAGCUAAUCAACUUAGCUAAUUUUCUUUUAUUGUGGAUCCUAUCUUUGGUGAAGUAAGAUUAAGUUACUUUAGGGAUAACAGCAUAAUAUACUUAUGGAGUUCUAAUCGAAGAGUAUGAUUGUGACCUCGAUGUUGAAUUAACCUAAUUGUAAGGUGAAGAAGCUUUACGAGUUAGUCUGUUCGACUAUUGAAGGGUUACGGGAUUUGUGUUCAAACCGGUCUAAGCCAGGUGGGUUCAUAUCUACUGAGUUUNAAAAGUUCUUUUGUUCGGAAGGACCAGAGACGUUAGGGGUUCUAUUUAAGGUAAUAUUUAACUAAUUUUAGGUAUU
rnacentral:rRNA from 1 species